rnacentral:tRNA from 1 species
GGCUCCGUAGCCCAACUGGAACGAGGCGCCUCGCUCAGAACGAGGAGGUUGCGAGUUCGAAUCUCGCCGGAGCUACCA